rnacentral:rRNA from 1 species
ACGUAGGGGGCAAGCGUUGCUCGGAAUUACUGGGCGUAAAGGGUGUGUAGGUGGCUGAUUAAGUUAAGGAUGAAAUCCCGAGGCUCAACUUCGGAACUGUCCUUGAUACUGGUCAGCUUGAGUCUAGUAAAGGAGAGCGGAAUUCCCUGUGGAACUGUGAAAUGCGUAUAUAUCGGGAUGUACUCCAGAGGCGUAGGCGGUUCUCUAGGCUCGUCCUGACACUGAGACACGAAAGCUAGGGGAGCAAACGG